AAUACUAAACCUUCACCUUUCCCCCUACUAUACAGAUCCCCAUGAGUGCUACAGUUCAAUGAUCAUUAGGAGCCCUAGCCCUGAGACACGUACCACUGGAUACACUAGACCUUCAUCUCAGAUCAGCUACUUAUCAGAGGAUCUACAGACCAUACCAUCAGUUGAAGAGCUAUCACUGGUUGAUGAUGAUACUGUCAUACAAGAAGAAGAAGAUGAACAAGUUGCUGUAUCUAGUGAAGUACCAAUGAAAGUUGAUAUCAGUAGAGGAGAGAGGGAGAGGAGGAGAGAGGGAGGGAGAGAGAGUCCUAUUGCAAUGAUGACACAAAGACCAAAGACACCAGAAGAAACAGGUUUGACCAGUUUUUAAUGAUUGACUAUAAGUACAUGUAGUUUAUAUCAAAUACUUGCAAUCAUGUGUCAUUGAACAUUUUGAUGAAUAAAGCAAAAGUUUAGUAAUUGCA